rnacentral:rRNA from 1 species
UACGAAGGGGGCUAGCGUUGCUCGGAAUCACUGGGCGUAAAGGGUGCGUAGGCGGGUCUUUAAGUCAGAGGUGAAAUCCUGGAGCUCAACUCCAGAACUGCCUUUGAUACUGAGGAUCUUGAGUUCGGGAGAGGUGAGUGGAACUGCGAGUGUAGAGGUGAAAUUCGUAGAUAUUCGCAAGAACACCAGUGGCGAAGGCGGCUCACUGGCCCGAUACUGACGCUGAGGCACGAAAGCGUGGGGGAGCAAACAGG